rnacentral:misc_RNA from 1 species
GAAGUGCGAUAAGCAAUGCGAAUUGCAGAACCGUGAGUCAUCAGAUUUUUGAACGCAACUGGCGCCGGCUGGCUCUCCAGUCGGCAUGCUUGUUUCAGUGUCUUUUUAUCUCAUCACCCAAAUCUUAAUGCGAGAGAUAUCCUUCUCUUGUUAAGCAUGAAAGCACUCUGCGCUCUGCGAGCGACUUUGACUUGUUCUUAGUCGCACUCAAUGCAGCGGUCACAUUUCACAAUGUGAACUCAUUGAGAGCUGAGGCAGUGCAGCCUUACAGCUGCCAGUGCUUAGACACACAAACUUUCUUUGUAUCUGAAAUCAAGCAGGAUCACCCGCUGAACUUAA